rnacentral:lncRNA from 1 species
AUAGAACCAAACAAUAGAAGUUAUAAAAACUGUGUUUUUUUUCUUUCACUUUUUUGAAACCAAACACUUAAACUCAAAAGUGACUUUUAUAAAACUCACUUUUUGAAAAGUGACUUUUUCACUUCAAUCACUUACGGACAACCAAAUAUGCCCUAAAGAGAUAGAUUAAAAGAAAAUCUGUCAAAUCUCUAGAACUAGCAAAAUCUAGCUGUUGCCAUGUGGUGUGUCCACAUUGGCCCGUUCAAAUUUAACCCUGCUUGGUGAAAAACUCAAAAUUUUAAAAUUUGAAUUUUAUUCUAUUUGAAUUUUGAAUUAUUUAUUAAUUAUUUAUUGUUAUUUAUUAUUUUAUUAUUUAUUUAUUUAAUUUAAUUUAUUUACUUAUUUUAUUUUCUUUCUUACUGAGAAAGAAACCAACGGGAUAUUUUUUCCGUUCCGUUUCUUUCGCCAAACGGCUCAUUCCGUUGCGCAGGUUCCGCUUCUCUCUCGUAACGAGAAAGAACGUGAAAUCAUCUUUCUUUUUAUGCCAUUUCUUUAUCUCCUCUGUCAAGAUAGAGGAAAUAAAAAAGAUAUCAGAUAAUUGGUUAAUCCUUAUCUACUCAUCUUUUUAUCAUUUACUAUUCUAAUAUUUCUCUUAUCUACUAGGUGUUGAGAGAAUCUCCUUCACGACCGUCCUCGCAGGAAGAGAAAUUCCGGUCGUAUCUUGGGGUGUUGUUCCUGAUUAAUCCCGCACGUAAGGACGAGAAUACGCCUUAGGGCAGUGCCUAUAAGAUCAAAUCUUUAUCGAGAUAUUUACGUUUAUUCGUAUGUUCAAUUUUAUUUUUAUCACUAAAUUAGUUAGAUUCUAAUCACAAUUGAAUUUUUCGUUGCGAUUUUUCCCAACAAUCUAAGGCGUAAUUCUAAUCUGAUUGUGAUUAAAUCUAACAGGUGCUAAUCCUU